UAGCAUGGCUGAGUUAAAUAUCCUUAAUGCUGAAUACAACAUUUACCAGUUCUCAAAAAAAAAGAAGAGAUGGAGCAUUUCUCAAUCAAGUAAAUUUACGUGAAGCUCCGUCAGAAGAUUUGUGUGUAACAACUUGGGAUCACCUAGAUGUAUCUUUAUCUCGAGACGAGACUAGGGACAGAAUGCCGAAAUGGGGAAUGGUUGUG
rnacentral:misc_RNA from 1 species